CACACACACACACACACACACACACACACACACACUGUAUGUCUGCAGCCACAUGACUAUGUUUUAUGCACAAUGGGGCACUCCCUGCAUUUUCUAAUUCUUGGCAGGGGGAUGAACCACUAUGUGUUGGUGUAGCCAUGUGCUCAGACAUGCACUCUACAACCAUACAUCCAGACACGGUUCCUUUACCCCACCACUCACACACCAUCUAUAUUCUAUGUCCCUGGAUCACAGACGGUGUGCAGCUGUUGGUCUGGAACUCGCCGAUGGACGUCGAGCUGACUCAACGUGGCGGUGAGAGGACGGAGGAGCGCGUCGAGACUGCUGCUCUGCGGGACAAAGGUGCAGAAGAUCCUGAUAGGGAAACAUUUCAAAGCUGAAGCUCAACAACACUGUCAGGUAGUUUAGAAAAGCUGACAUGCUACAUUUUGUGAUUGUUUUUCUUGAACAAUGAAAAUAAAGGUUUAUUAUAUACAAUGUAUCGUCAGCCUAAAUGAAUAAACGCCAACUCGUAUUAAUACACAGUCCAAGGAGGUGGAGUAGCAGCCACCUCGUGAGACCAGGAAAGCUCAUCAAGACGGGGACCAGCAUCCUGAUUGAAUCGCAGACAGCCAUACCUGCUUGCAGUGGGAACUCAGAGGAAUGUGAUUCACUGUCAAACAUGCAUUUUGUGUGCCAUCACCUGCCAAUCUGACCGCACCUGGGUUCCAGAGGGCAAGCCGGCCAAUCGGCUGAGUGCUUUCAAAGGAGUUCAGGGGUGGCUUUGGCUUGUGUAAUGUUUACAUUGAUACUGCUAGGUGUGCAUGUUUGCGGUGAGAGGUUGAGGACAGUCGGUGAGUUUAGGGUACCCUGUACAUGUGUGUCUAGAAACAUUAGACUCUUGGUUGCUGCUCCCUCUGGAUUGUUUUGACAAUAACUUUGCUAGAGAAGCAAGUGAAGCCAUUUUGAUUGUUGGAGGUAUUCCACCAGGCACAACCACAACUGUCCCAAUGGAUCCCCUGGACUAAGAAGUGGAUGUAACAGUUCCUGAAAAGUAAUUUGCAUGAAAACAAUGAUGCGGUUAUCAAAUAUAGUUGGCAAGAAAAUGAAAUUUUGAGUGAGUGGGGCUUGAGUAAUUGUUAUUGAUUACUGUGUGUGUUAGACAUUGUUUUACUCGCAUCAUUUCGCAGAAACAUUGUGAUUUAAAAUGGGGAAAUGCUUUUGUCAAAUGAUGUACUAUACGCACAAUACUCCACGUGGUUAUUUCAUGUUUACGUUGCGUGACCCUUGUGCUUUUCACCUCGGGUCGUUUGUCACUUUUAGAAAAGCCAAGAAUUGUUUUUAAAGUUGUUCAUUGAGACCGAAUUCUGCCCACUUGUUGAAUAUUGGGAUUUCCUGCUUGGCUUUACCUCUCUUGUAAAUGUCAUCUCUUGUGUUUCAGACUGUUUAUAAGGCCGGGUUUUUGCUUCUACCUUUCAGUCUUUCUCUUUUGUAUAUUAUAUUGAAUAAUAUUUGAUUGACUGAAUAAAAUACACAAACAAAAUGUUAAUGCACAUUAUACACACAUAGUUUAACCAGCUUACAAUGAAUGUGUUUUAAAUGUUUAUUUGUUGUGACUCCACUAGCAGUGUAUCAAAUAAACAUUAAGGUUAUAUAGUUAACCUUGAAUUGGUAUACAUUGUUAAAUUCUUGCCCUGAAAAAGUUGAUAAUCUGGAAGAUCCAUUCCAGGGGUUUGUGGUG